rnacentral:tRNA from 1 species
GGGCCCGUAGCCUAGUCAGGAUUAGGGUGUCGGCCUUCGGAGCCGGUGGUCUUGGGUUCAAAUCCCAACGGGCCCGCCA